GAAAUGCCCAAAUGGAUGGACACCUUUUGGUGUGAAAUGCUACAAAUUCUUCUCUGAGUCAGUUAACUGGGCCACAGCUGAGAAAAACUGUCAAUCCAUUGAUGCAAACCUUGCAUCUGUGCGCAAUAAAGUGGAAAACAACUUUCUCCAGAGUCUGCUUGUCCCUGCUGACACACGUGCUUGGAUUGGUGGCCAUGAUGGCGAAAUUGAUGGACAAUGGCUGUGGGCUGAUGGAUCUCAAUUUGACUUUACCAACUGGUGCUCUGGGGUACCUGACAAUUUUUUUAAUAAACCGGAGAACUGCCUGGAGAUAAACUUUAGCUUCCCACUGUUCUUAAUCCACAAUUGCUGGAAUGAUGCGCCUUGUUCAAGCACAAUGAGUUACAUUUGUGCCAAACCUCUGAGAUCAUGAAAAAUCUAUCUGUUUCAAAAGUACUGUGAUUGUACUACAUGCAUAUACGUUUUUUUCUGAUCUUAUCUUUAAAAUCUUUCAAAUGUCUCUGAAAUUAUCUUAAAAAAUUACUGAACCUUUCUGAAAACUUCUCAUUAAAAGCAUUUAUAAAGCAAA